rnacentral:rRNA from 1 species
AUGGGGGCGGCAAGCGAUUCCGUGGUGCGCGGCGUGCAUUUCGUUUCCGGUCCCGCCGUGGCCGACUCUGCAGUAGGCGUAGAGUCGCGGGAGACACUACCGGUGUAUGAGGUCCCGCCGGCUCGCGGCCUGGUUGGCGACCUGUCUGAUGUCGAGCUGUCCGACGGGUCCUGCACGACGGGGGCGGCGCCGGCUGGCGGAGGUGUGGCGUCGGCAGGCGCCGGUGACGGGGCGCGCGCAGUCGACUCGCGCAGCGCAGUUCAGUCAUUCAGCCCCAGUGCUCCGGCGGCGGCGAGCACCACUAUCCGCGUUGGCUGGAAGCGCAGGCCAAGGGUAGCCCGGGCACCAGAUGAGAGGGCGGCUGUAGUUGGUCGUGUGCCGGCGCUUGAAGCUGCGAUCCGAGGAUUCGCUAGAGGGACUGAUGUGGUUGUCAACCCGGCGAUGGCAGAGGCGUAUGAAUUCUACAAUUUGUAUUCAUGGGAGGUUGGCUUUGGGAUUCGUUAUGGCAAGAGCAGGCAGAAUGUCAACGGGACCAAAUGCAUGCAGGAGAUCGUGUGCGGCUGCGCUAGGGAGAACAGUUCAUCGUUGAGGAGCGAUUGCGCCGCCAUGGUUCGUCUGCACCGGACAGAUGAUGGGGGGUGGUAUGUCUUGGAAAAUUGUGCUUCCCACAACCAUGAACUGCUUAGGACUUGUGCUGAGAAGCUGCACUGGCCAUCACACCGGCACAUUGACACAUACACCAAAGAUCUUUGUGAAACGGCUGCGGGAGAACAAUGUGAAUCUAUGGAAGGUUUACAGUAUCUUUGGCAGCCUGUUUGGGCGAAUGAAGAAUGUACCGUUCACGAAGAGUCUUCGUCCCGGUGCACCGGCGGCGGUGAUGUCCGGAGACGCGGAGCAGAAAAUGAGCUUUCGGACAUCUCGGCGCGGCGGCGGCGGUGCAUCAGUACAACGCGAGAUGCUUGCGCGUAUGAGAACGUGCAAAAGAUCAGUACUGUCCGGCCGGGUGCACAAUCCUUAAAUACAUUCAGGGCGAAAAGUGUUUACGUUAUACAGUGUCUCAGUGCAACGGUAGUAUUUCGUCCUCUCACCCUGCACACGUACGGCGCUCUGCAGCCGCGUGUCAGAUUUCCUGUCAGUGGUACUUCAAAUACGCGAAAUACGCAACAUAUCACAUGCCAGCGGGCCUCUAUACUGCAAGUAGCACAUUUGGCUGCUACUAAUCGCGACGAUGUGCCAGCCGUCGAUGCGCUGCGUGCAGCUGCCGCUGCGUGCAGCGCUGCACUUCUCGUGCUCCUCCUCCCCUCUUCUCCGCCUCCUGUCCCACGAUCCUUCUGCCUCCCCCUAACUCGCCGUUAG